rnacentral:rRNA from 1 species
UGCGUAGGCGGGGCAAUUAGUCAGUGGUGAAAUCCUGCGGCUUAACCGUAGAACUGCCAUUGAUACUGUUGCCCUUGAGUAUAGUUGAAGUGGGCGGAAUAUGUAAUGUAGCGGUGAAAUGCAUAGAGAUUACAUAGAACACCAAUUGCGAAGGCAGCUCACUAAGCUAUCACUGACGCUGAGGCACGGAAGCGUGGGGAGCGAACAGGAUUAGAUACCCUGGUAGUCC